UUGGAGGGCAGUCUGGUGCCAGCAGCCGCGGUAAUUCCAGCUCCAAUAGCGUAUAUUAAAGUUGUUGCAGUUAAAAAGCUCGUAGUUGAACUUCGGGGUUUACCCAUUGGUCAGGCUUUAUUGUCUGCACUGGUGAGAUGAAUCUCUACCUUCUGAGGAACUUUCAUGCCAUUUAUUUGGUGUGAUGGGAAAUCAGGACUGUUACUUUGAAAAAAUUAGAGUGUUUAAAGCAGGCUAACGUCUGAAUACAUUAGCAUGGAAUAAUGAAGUAGGACGGACUGAUUCUAUUUCGUUGGUUUCUAGGAUCACCGUAAUGAUUAAUAGGGAUAGUUGGGGGCAUUAGUAUUCAAUUGUCAGAGGUGAAAUUCUUGGAUUUAUUGAAGACUAACUACUGCGAAAGCAUUUGCCAAGGAUGUUUUCAUUAAUCAAGAACGAAAGUUAGGGGAUCGAAGACGAUCUGAUACCGUCGUAGUCUUAACCAUAAACUAUGCCGACUAGGGAUCGGACGAAGUUAAUUUUAUAAUGACGCGUUCGGCGCCUUACGGGAAAC
rnacentral:rRNA from 1 species